rnacentral:snRNA from 1 species
GUGCUCGCUUUGGCAGCACAUAUACUGAAAUUGGAAUGAUACAGAGAAGAUUAGCAUGGCCCCUGUGCAAGGACGACAUGCAAAUUCGUGAAGCAUUCCAUAUUUUU